GACAGAGGGUGCAAACGUUGUUCGGAUUUACUGGGCGUAAAGCGCGUGUAGGCGGCUUUGCAAGUCGGAUGUGAAAUCCCACGGCUCAACCGUGGAAGUGCAUCCGAAACUGCAUCGCUGGAGUCUCGGAGAGGAAGGUGGAAUGCUUGGUGUAGGAGGUGAAAUUCGUAGAUAUCAAGCAGAACACCUGCGGCGAAGGCGGCCUCUGGACGAUGACUGACGCUGAGACGCGAAGCGUGGGGAGCAAACAG
rnacentral:rRNA from 1 species